rnacentral:ribozyme from 13 species
AAAAGAGGAAAAGAGAAGAGGAGAAAGGGGCUCGAAGAAAAAGACAAGAAACAAACUUCUCUCACUUACCCCCUUCCUCUACCUUUUUUUCCUUUCCUCUUUCUUUCUCAAUCUCAUUU